UGCUUACAAAGAGGAAAUUACAUCAUCCUUGAAUUCUUCCAUAUUGUCAGAAAAUACGAUGACUCCAGGCAAGCCUUUACGAAGAAAUGUCAAAACUCUGAAUCUUAGCAGCCAAGGUGGUAUCUCCUCAGUAUUGUCCUCAGCCACUGAGGAUACAGUUUGAGAUUACGGGAAAUGAUGAGACGUUCGUUGAGAGCAGCUGGUUUGGGUAGACAUGAAGCUGGAGCUUCAUCCAGUGACCACCAGGAUCCAGUUUCACCCCCCAUAGCUCCCCCUAGUUGGGUUCCUGACCCUCCUGCGAUGGAUCCUGAUGGUGACAUUGAUUUUAUCCUGGCCCCCGCUGUGGGAUCUCUUACCACAGCAGCAACCGGUACUGGUCAAGGACCAAGCACCUCCACUAUUCCAGGUAAGAAUCUGUACUCUUUGUCUGCCUAGUCAUCUGGAAGAAAAAAGGACACACU
rnacentral:lncRNA from 1 species